rnacentral:rRNA from 1 species
GUCCUGUGACUGCGUACCUUUUGUAUAAUGGGUCAGCGACUUAUAUUCAGUGGCAAGGUUAACCAUCUAGGGGAGCCGUAGGGAAACCGAGUCUUAACUGGGCGUUCAGUCUCUGGAUAUAGACCCGAAACCAGGUGAUCUAGCCAUGGGCAGGUUGAAGGUUGAGUAACAUCAACUGGAGGACCGAACCGACUAAUGUUGAAAAAUUAGCGGAUGACUUGUGGCUAGGGGUGAAAGGCCAAUCAAACCUGGAGAUAGCUGGUUCUCCCCGAAAGCUAUUUAGGUAGCGCCUCGGACGAAUACUACUGGGGGUAGAGCACUGUUAAGGCUAGGGGGUCAUCCCGACUUACCAACCCUUUGCAAACUCCGAAUACCAGUAAGUACUAUCCGGGAGACACACGGCGGGUGCUAACGUCCGUCGUGGAGAGGGAAACAACCCAGACCGCCAGCUAAGGUCCCAAAUUACUACUAAGUGGGAAACGAUGUGGGAAGGCUCAGACAGCCAGGAUGUUGGCUUAGAAGCAGCCAUCAUUUAAAGAAAGCGUAAUAGCUCACUGGUCGAGUCGGCCUGCGCGGAAGAUGUAACGGGGCUAAGUAGUAAACCGAAGCUGCGGCAAUGUGCUUUUGCACAUUGGGUAGGGGAGCGUUCUGUAAGCGGUUGAAGGUGUGUGGUAACGCAUGCUGGACGUAUCAGAAGUGCGAAUGCUGACAUGAGUAACGAUAAAGGGGGUGAAAAACCUCCUCGCCGGAAGACCAAGGGUUCCUGUCCAACGUUAAUCGGGGCAGGGUAAGUCGACCCCUAAGGCGAGGCCGAAAGGCGUAGUCGAUGGGAAACGGGUUAAUAUUCCCGUACUUCUUACAAUUGCGAUGGGGGGACGGAGAAGGCUAGGUGGGCCUGGCGACGGUUGUCCAGGUUCAAGUGCGUAGGCUUAAGAGUUAGGUAAAUCCGGCUCUUUUUAA